rnacentral:lncRNA from 12 species
CCUAAUCACCCAUCACCUAAGGGUGGGGAUGUGCUCUCAUUUGCUCCUGAGAACUCUAUCUUCAAACACAGAGGUCCUUCAGCCUCAGAUCUUUAGUCCCCUGUCAGAGCAGCAUGGAGUUCCUUUGGAUUCCCAGGCUUUUUUGGCAGCUUGAAGGUAGAGCCAGUUACGAAAGCUGCCAGGGCGAUUCCAGAAGCUAACCCCACCCUGACUCAGCUCCGAGCCCCACAGAUCUGCUAUCUCUCACUUCAAGACAGGCACCGGCAAGCGUCUUCCCAUGGGGUGAUUUCCAACAAGGUGACAAAACUGGAGGUCAAUCACUCCAGCUGUAUUUAGGGACAAACCAACCAACUCAUUAAUAAAAUGGUUCUGUGAUACUAGACUAUGAACUCC